ensembl:misc_RNA Y_RNA Y RNA
GGCUGAUCCAAAGUAGUAAGUCAUCUCCAUUGAUUGUUCAUUCAGUUACAUAUCAAACUCCUUGUUCUACUGUUUGCCCCCUUCUCACUACUGCACUUGAUUAGUCAGAA